rnacentral:rRNA from 1 species
UACAGAGGGGGCGAGCGUUGUUCGGAAUUACUGGGCGUAAAGGGCUCGUAGGCGGCCAACUAAGUCAGACGUGAAAUCCCUCGGCUUAACCGGGGAACUGCGUCUGAUACUGGAUGGCUUGAGUUUGGGAGAGGGAUGCGGAAUUCCAGGUGUAGCGGUGAAAUGCGUAGAUAUCUGGGAGAACACGGUGCGAAGGCGGCAUCCUGGACCAACACUGACGCUGAGUGAGCGAAAGCCAGGGGAGCAAACGGG